rnacentral:lncRNA from 1 species
GUUUUGUUUCUUCUGUAGAUUGUUGUUUUGUUUAUGUUGGUUUUUUUUUGUACAUUUUGGGGGAGGGGAUCUUUUAUUAAAACAAAAAAUUAAUCAAUGAACCAGACUAUAAAUUAUACGAAUCCCAAUGUGAAAACAAAUAUUUAAGCAAUUCAAAUAAAAAGAUAUGACUUGAAAACUUGAAAAAGAUAGAACGACGAACGAAAAGAUAUGGAUGAAGGGAACCGCUUCAAUUGUUAACCACAGAGACGAUAUCUUUCGG